rnacentral:rRNA from 1 species
GAUGAACGCUGGCGGCGUGCCUAAUACAUGCAAGUCGAGCGAACAGACGAGGAGCUUGCUCCUCUGACGUUAGCGGCGGACGGGUGAGUAACACGUGGAUAACCUACCUAUAAGACUGGGAUAACUUCGGGAAACCGGAGCUAAUACCGGAUAAUAUAUUGAACCGCAUGGUUCAAUAGUGAAGGACGGUUUUGCUGUCACUUAUAGAUGGAUCCGCGCCGCAUUAGCUAGUUGGUAAGGUAACGGCUUACCAAGGCAACGAUGCGUAGCCGACCUGAGAGGGGGAUCGGCCACACGGGAACUGAGACACGGUCCAGACUCCUACGGGAGGCAGCAGUAGGGAAUAUUCCGCAAUGGGCGAAAGCUUGACGGAGCAACGCCGCGUGAGUGAUGAAGGUCUUCGGAUCGUAAAACUCUGUUAUUAGGGAAGAACAAAUGUGUAAGUAACUAUGCACGUCUUGACGGUACCUAAUCAGAAAGCCACGGCUAACUACGUG